GAGUUUGAUCUUGGCUCAGAUUGAACGCUGGCGGCAUGCCUUACACAUGCAAGUCGAACGGCAGCACGGGAGCUUGCUCCUGGUGGCGAGUGGCGAACGGGUGAGUAAUGCAUCGGAACGUAUCCUGGAGUGGGGGAUAACGUAGCGAAAGUUACGCUAAUACCGCAUAUUCUGUGAGCAGGAAAGCGGGGGACCUUCGGGCCUCGCGCUCUUGGAGCGGCCGAUGUCGGAUUAGCUAGUUGGUGAGGUAAAGGCUCACCAAGGCGACGAUCCGUAGCAGGUCUGAGAGGAUGAUCUGCCACACUGGAACUGAGACACGGUCCAGACUCCUACGGGAGGCAGCAGUGGGAUUUUGGACAAUGGGGGCAACCCUGAUCCAGCCAUGCCGCGUGAGUGAAGAAGGCCU
rnacentral:rRNA from 1 species